rnacentral:rRNA from 1 species
UGCCAGCCGCCGCGGUAAUACGGAGGGUGCAAGCGUUGUUCGGAAUCACUGGGCAUAAAGAGCACGUAGGCGGUCUGUUAAGUUAGAUGUGAAAUCCCUCGGCUCAACCGGGGAACUGCAUUUGAUACUGGCAGGCUAGAGGGCGGUAGGGGUGAGUGGAACUCCAGGUGGAGCGGUGAAAUGCGUAGAUAUCUGGAGGAACACCUGUGGCGAAAGCGACUCACUGGACCGUCUCUGGCGCUGAGGUGCGAAAGCUAGGGUAGCGAACGGGAUUAGAUA